rnacentral:rRNA from 1 species
UACGGAGGGGGCUAGCGUUGUUCGGAAUUACUGGGCGUAAAGCGCGCGUAGGCGGACCUGCAAGUCGGGGGUGAAAGCCCGAGGCUCAACCUCCAGACGUCGACGGAAACCGUGUGGCUAGAGUCCGGAAGAGGAGAGUGGAAUUCCUGGUGUAGCGGUGAAAUGCGCAGAUAUCAGGAAGAACACCAAUGGCGAAGGCGGCUCUCUGGGACGGUACUGACGCUGAGACGCGAAAGCGUGGGGAGCGAACAGG